GCAGAAGACGUAGCCAUAGCUGAUCAUUUAAGUUUAGUAUGUGAAAACCUUCAAGUUUAAAGUUAGGAGCGUCCAUUUAAAACUCUAAUCCACGAUUUUUGUAGAAGGGGGGGUGGAUAUUCCAGGUGGAUCGGUGAAAAGGGGAGAUUUUCGGAGGGAUUCCCAGUGGGCGAAGGGGGGCCCCCUGGACAAAAAGAUUGACCCUUCAUGUAUGAAAGGGGUGGGGAAGCAAACAGGGAUUUGAUUCCCUGGGUAGUUCCAUUCUGUAAACAAUAGUCAAUUUUGAAGGUUGUAGCCCUUGAGUUAUAGCUUUCGUAGCUACCGCGUUAAAUUGCCCGCCUGGGGAGUACGGCCCGCAAGGUUAAAACUCAAAUGAAUUGACGGGGGCCCGCACAAGCGGUGGAGCAUGUGGUUUAAUUUCGAUGCAACGCGAAAAACCUUACCUAUUCUUGACAUCCAAAGAAUAAAACAGAAAUGUUUUAGUGCCUUAGGGAACUUUGAGACAGGUGCUGCAUGGCUGUCGUCAGCUCGUGUUGUGAAAUGUUGGGUUAAGUCCCGCAACGAGCGCAACCCCUAUCCUUUGUUGCCAUCGAGUAAAGUCGGGAACUCAAAGGAGACUGCUGGUGAUGAACCGGAGGAAGGUGGGGACGACGUCAAGUCAUCAUGGCCCUUACGAAUAGGGCUACACACGUGCUACAAUGGCAUAUACAAAGAGAAGCGAUCUUGCAAAAGCUAGCAAAUCUCAUAAAGUAUGUCGUAGUUCGGAUUGGAGUCUGCAACUCGACUCCAUGAAGUCGGAAUCGCUAGUAAUCGUUGGUCAGAAUGCUACGGUGAAUACGUUCCCGGGCCUUGCCCUCGCCGCCCGUC
rnacentral:rRNA from 1 species